AACGAACGCUGGCGGCAGGCUUAACACAUGCAAGUCGAACGCCCCGCCAGGGGAGUGGCAGACGGGUGAGUAACGCGUGGGAACAUACCCUUUUCUACGGAAUAGCUCUGGGAAACUGGAAUUAAUACCGUAUACGCCCUACGGGGGAAAGAUUUAUCGGGGAAGGAUUGGCCCGCGUUGGAUUAGCUAGUUGGUGGGGUAAAGGCCUACCAAGGCGACGAUCCAUAGCUGGUCUGAGAGGAUGAUCAGCCACAUUGGGACUGAGACACGGCCCAAACUCCUACGGGAGGCAGCAGUGGGGAAUAUUGGACAAUGGGCGCAAGCCUGAUCCAGCCAUGCCGCGUGGGUGAUGAAGGCCUUAGGGUUGUAAAGCUCUUUCACCGAUGAAGAUAAUGACGGUAGUCGGAGAAGAAGCCCCGGCUAACUUCGUG
rnacentral:rRNA from 1 species